rnacentral:rRNA from 1 species
AUUGAACGCUGGCGGCAGGCCUAACACAUGCAAGUCGAGCGGAUGAAGGGAGCUUGCUCCUGGAUUCAGCGGCGGACGGGUGAGUAAUGCCUAGGAAUCUGCCUGGUAGUGGGGGAUAACGUCCGGAAACGGGCGCUAAUACCGCAUACGUCCUGAGGGAGAAAGUGGGGGAUCUUCGGACCUCACGCUAUCAGAUGAGCCUAGGUCGGAUUAGCUAGUUGGUGGGGUAAAGGCCUACCAAGGCGACGAUCCGUAACUGGUCUGAGAGGAUGAUCAGUCACACUGGAACUGAGACACGGUCCAGACUCCUACGGUAGGCAGCAGUGGGGAAUAUUGGACAAUGGGCGAAAGCCUGAUCCAGCCAUGCCGCGUGUGUGAAGAAGGUCUUCUGAUUGUAAAGCACUUUAAGUUGGGAGGAAGGGCAGUAAGUUAAUACCUUGCUGUUUUGACGUUACCAACAGAAUAAGCACCGGCUAACUUCGUG